UACGUGAGCUCCGACGCCAUCUCCCUCCGGCCGCCGGCGGCGAAGAAGGGGGGGCGAUUUGCUGCUUCGCUAGAUGAAAAAAAAAAAGGUCUAUCUCACUGUGAAGUGGGCCCUCCUAUUAAUUACGCGGAAGGUGGAAUGGGCUCCGCGACCGUCGCCGGUGGGUUUAUCGCAGCGAGAGCAGCGGAGAGGGUGUGCGUUUAAUAC
rnacentral:lncRNA from 1 species